GCUCAAACACACACAUGCUGGGCUUCGUUAGGCAUGAAUCCACCUGCUUAAUCCUCCCCAGCUGUGGCUGGUGAGGUAGCUGGUUUUCUCAGCAAAAUUCUCCAAAGCAGAGUGAGGCUGAGUAAGUUUUGCUGCACAGUUGAAAAUGAGCCCACGGUGAAAGAGACAAAGGCCGGUGUGGAAUACCAGCUCCUUGGCACUCUAGAAGAUGAGACAGAUAGAAUUAGGUUCCUUCCUUCUCCAGUUGUACUGAACCAACGUGGAAUUCCAUGUGUGUUACAUCACAAUUCCCCUGUCUCUGUCUUUUCAUUGAGAGCCUAAGAGGAAGAAACUUCAGCAGGGUUGAUGGACGGAGGGGGCCACACAAUCUUGGCUCCUGUAUCAUCUCAAAAACAAACAGUGUAUGCUCUUGCUAGUGAGAGCUUGUGAGGACUCACAAAUAAGUGCUGAUUUCAUUAGCCUGACAUAAAAUUCUAUCACUAGCUAACUCCUAAGACAAAGCAAAUGAAGAGGCACAAGGUCCUGGGAAAAUUUGCCAGGCGUUUCUGUGUAAUCGGGCAAACAUCCCUUCCUAUCCAAGAAGAGUUCGGGGUUUGGGCUAAUUUUGUGUUCAUUGGGCAAACUCAAGUUGCCUGCGUGUAUCUGAGCAGCAAUAAGGCAGGGAGGCAAAUGCCCGCCACCUUGAUUGCUGACCCCGACCUUCGGUCUGCUCACACAAAAAGACCAGGUAGAACUGCUCUACCCACCAGCACAGGUGAUUAAUCACGACAGAGGCAGGCCCUCAGUUGAAAGCCAGUGGAGCGUAGCACCUGACAUCUGGUUUGUAUUAGCUAUUGCUGAAAUGCCAGUGGCCUGAAACCAUUUAGAAAACGCAGCUCUCCGUGCCCUCUGUUUCCUUACAGGCUUCUUUCUCUGUCUCCAGCUGGUAACCAAGUGGCAAAUAAAUUUAGGAAGCAGCAGCUAAUUCCUCCCUCAACAAUGCCAAGGGCCUUCAAUGCCAGGACCCUCAUACAGUGCAUUUUCAGUGGAAUUCUGUCAAUACUCUUACGUUCAUCAAGGGAAUCUUAGAAGGACAGAACAAACAUGUUGCUGAAUUUGACUGGAAGAAAAAAAAACAACUGGUUAAGAGUGUAUCUGUAAACUUUUGGAGAAAGGUUGGGUAGCUGCCUAAAAGGUACAAUAUCUUAAAAGUCCAUCAGGAAAUCUGAGGAUGGUGAAGACUGGUUACCUUUUCACCAAAGAGACAGAGUCUUGCUAUGUCGUCCAGGCUGGCACUGUACCUGCAAUCCUGUGUCUUAACCUUUCAACUCAAGUAAGAAGUAAAUUACUAUUGUGCUAAAACAAUGAUCCAUUGGAAUAUGUUGGAAGUUG